rnacentral:lncRNA from 1 species
AACAGCGUUAUAUGCAACAGCAGCAGCAGCAGCAGCAGCAGCAGCAACAGCAACAGUUUGCAGCAUCUGGUGCUUUGAUGCCACAUGUCCAACCACAACCUCAGCUUCCACUAUCAUCUCCUCUGCAAAAUAGUUCUCAAAUUCAAGCACAACCUUCCUCUCAGCCACUAUCAAUGGCGCCACUUUCAGCAUCUUCCCCAGUGACACCCAUGGCAUUGCAGCAUCAGCAGAAACAUCAGCUGCCACAUCACGG